UGUUUAUUUAAUGUGUAACUUUGAUUUUUUGUUUUUUUUGGUUUACUAUAAUUUAUUAUUUUUUCAUUUAUAUUUUGAUUUAUAUUAUUAUUGUAAAUAAUAUUUAUUUCUAUUUAGUUAACCACGGAGAUGAAACUGAAGUUGACAAUGAUGGGGAAGAUGAAAACAAAGCACUAAAGAAAUACAGAAAAUUGAAACUUAGACUAGAUGAUUUUAUGGAAGAAAUGAGGAAAACAGGU